CACAAAGGUUUGGUCCUAGCCCUAUAGUCAGUUUUUACUCGACCUACACAUGCAAGUCUCCGCAUCCCUGUGAAAACGCCCUUAAAUCCUACUGGACUAAAGGAGCAGGUAUCAGGCGCAAUUAUCCGCCCAAGACACCUAGCCAUGCCACACCCACAAGGGUCCUCAGCAGUGACUAACAUUGAAUAUAAACGACAGCUUGAUUCAGUUAAAGUAAAUAGAGCCGGCAAAUCCGGUGCCAGCCGCCGCGGCUACACCAGAGACUCAAAUUGACUAUCAUCGACGUAAAGCGUGAUUAAAGAUAUACUAAACUAGAGCUAAACUCAGAUUAAACCGUGAAACAUUUAUCUGAGAGAAACCCAUAAAACGAAAGUCGCUCUACUUACCCCAACUUGAACACACGAGAGCGGGAAUACAAACUGGGAUUAGAUACCCCACUAUGCCCGACUGUAAACUUUAACCUACACCUUGAUCGUCUGGGAAUUACGAGCAAAGCUUAAAACCCAAAGGACUUGACGGUGCCCCAUAUCCCCCUAGAGGAGCCUGUCCUAUAAUCGAUAAUCCCCGUUCAACCUCACCAUACCUAGCUUUUCAGCCUGUAUACUUCCGUCGUCAGCCUACCACGUGAGCGAUGCUUAGUUAGCCCAAUGUCCGCACAUUUAUGUGCUCAUGUCGUCAAUACGUCAGGUCAAAGUGCAGCAAAUGUUAUGGAAAGAGAUGGGCUACACUUUUUAAUAUAAAAGAAACGAAAAACAAAAUGAAACUUUGUUAUGAAGGUGGAUUUAGAAGUAAAAGGAAAACAUUAAGUCCCUUUUAACCCGGCACUGGGGUGUGUACACACCGCCCGUCACCCUCCUCAAAAAUCUAAUUCUAGUACUUAACCAACUAUUUUAAAUAAAGAAGAGGCAAGUCGUAACAUGGUAAGCGUACCGGAAGGUGUGCUUGGAUA
rnacentral:ncRNA from 1 species